rnacentral:rRNA from 1 species
GACGAACGCUGGCGGCGUGCUUAACACAUGCAAGUCGAGCGGAAAGGCCCUUCGGGGUACUCGAGCGGCGAACGGGUGAGUAACACGUGAGCAACCUGCCCUUGGCUUUGGGAUAACCCUCGGAAACGGGGGCUAAUACCGGAUAUCCACUUUCUGUCGCAUGGCGGUUGGUGGAAAGUUUUUCGGCCAGGGAUGGGCUCGCGGCCUAUCAGCUUGUUGGUGGGGUGAUGGCCUACCAAGGCGACGACGGGUAGCCGGCCUGAGAGGGCGACCGGCCACACUGGGACUGAGACACGGCCCAGACUCCUACGGGAGGCAGCAGUGGGGAAUAUUGCACAAUGGGCGAAAGCCUGAUGCAGCGACGCCGCGUGAGGGAUGACGGCCUUCGGGUUGUAAACCUCUUUCAGCAGGGACGAAGCGAGAGUGACGGUACCUGCAGAAGAAGCGCCGGCCAACUACGUGCCAGCAGCCGCGGUAAGACGUAGGGCGCGAGCGUUGUCCGGAAUUAUUGGGCGUAAAGAGCUCGUAGGCGGCUUGUCGCGUCGACUGUGAAAACCCGUGGCUCAACCAUGUGGUCUGCAGUCGAUACGGGCAGGCUAGAAUUCGGUAGGGGAGACUGGAAUUCCUGGUGUAGCGGUGAAAUGCGAGAUAUCAGGAGGAACACCGGUGGCGAAGGCGGGUCUCUGGGCCGAUAUUGACGCUGA